rnacentral:rRNA from 1 species
UACAGAGGGUGCGAGCGUUGUCCGGAAUCACUGGGCGUAAAGGGCGCGUAGGCGGUCUUGUAAGUCGGGGGUGAAAUGCUGCGGCUCAACCGCAGCGCUGCCUUCGAGACUGCAAGACUGGAGCACGGUAGAGGCGGAUGGAAUUCCCGGUGUAGCGGUGGAAUGCGUAGAGAUCGGGAAGAACACCAAUGGCGAAGGCAGUCCGCUGGGCCGUUGCUGACGCUGAGGCGCGACAGCGUGGGGAGCGAACAGG